ACUAUAAGAUGCCCAGCGACGAAAGUUCACAUGGUACUUUUCUGGUGGUAUUGCAUGGUUACAUGGUAGGCUACUUUAAAUUCUGUAGGCCUUGCUUGAGCUGAGGCUCAGCCAUUAGGAACAAAAAUGACUUUCUGGUGGGGGUUUCAAUGACGGGAGUUGGAAGUAUCCAUGAAAAUAUGUAACUUAUAAAUCCCACAAAAUCAGUAGAAUAACGGUUUACCUCGAGUUCUAUAUAUUUAUGUAACACGCUGUGGCCCGAGUCUUGGCUAAAACAAAGUAAGAUUCUCCGACUGCUAUUAAAAACGGUUUUCUGCAAUCCACCAUCCUCGACAUGUAAGCCUCCCCCCGACGUCAAGGUCAUUCAUAUCAACAAAUAUAGACGGCAAGAGAAACACCUCCUCCGACAUCGGCGAAGUCACCUUCAAAGAGCCCAUAACACUUGUUAGUUUUGAAGAACAUUCUCAGAAAGUUUUUACAUCCCAGGAGUUUCCAUAAUACAACAGGAGCAUCUACAUCUACGCGGCUCUUCAAUGACACCUGAUAAUACCAUAUUUGAUGGACGUUAUGUUCCUUGGCGCUACUCAGGUCAAAUGAUUCGUCGGAGCUUCCAUGUUUCAGGGCUCUUUGUCAACGACAGACUUCAGAGAGGUAAUUUCAGUGGUUAUUCAGCAACGGGACCAACGGCUUUACGUGGCUUCCAAACCACGUCGAGAGUGAACUUCUGUCACCAGAAAUACACAUCUCUGACCCCUCAAUGGCAUGGUCGAGAAUCGAACUUGCGGCCACCAAGGUGGAAGGUCAAGACCAUACCAACCACGCCACUGAGGCGCUUUCCUUCCUCUGGGAAGGCCAUCUGUUGAACUAUAGUAACAUCAAAAUGAAUCUGAACAUGGUUGUCACUAGCUGUUGCCCAACUUCUUCCUGACAUAAUGCAAUUAAAUCUGUAGCCUCUAUUCAGGGUUCUUUAAUCCAGUCAUAAAACCCUAUUUAUCCUUCUCAUGGGCUUUUC